rnacentral:rRNA from 1 species
AUUGAACGCUGGCGGCAUGCCUUACACAUGCAAGUCGAACGGUAACAGGUCUUCGGAUGCUGACGAGUGGCGAACGGGUGAGUAAUACAUCGGAACGUGCCUAGUAGUGGGGGAUAACUACUCGAAAGAGUGGCUAAUACCGCAUGAGAUCUACGGAUGAAAGCAGGGGAUCGCAAGACCUUUCGCGAUUGGAGCGGCCGAUAUCAGAUUAGGUAGUUGGUGGGGUAAAGGCUCACCAAGCCGACGAUCUGUAGCUGGUCCGAGAGGACGAGCUGCCACGCUGGGACUGAGACACGGCCCAGAGUCAUACGGGAGGCAGCAGGGGGGAAUUUUGGACAAUGAGCGCAAGCCCGAUCCAGCAAUGCCGCGUGCAGGAUGAAGGCCUUCGGGUUGUAAACUGCUUUUGUACGGAGCGAAAAGGCUUCCACUAAUACUGGGGGCUCAUGACGGUACCGUAAGAAUAAGCACCGGCUAACUACGUGCCAGCCGCCGCCGUAAGAC